rnacentral:rRNA from 1 species
AGAGUUUGAUCCUGGCUCAGGAUGAACGCUAGCUACAGGCUUAACACAUGCAAGUCGAGGGGCAGCAUGAACUUAGCUUGCUAAGUUUGAUGGCGACCGGCGCACGGGUGAGUAACACGUAUCCAACCUGCCGAUGACUCGGGGAUAGCCUUUCGAAAGAAAGAUUAAUACCCGAUGGCAUAGUUCUUCCGCAUGGUAGAACUAUUAAAGAAUUUCGGUCAUCGAUGGGGAUGCGUUCCAUUAGGUUGUUGGCGGGGUAACGGCCCACCAAGCCUUCGAUGGAUAGGGGUUCUGAGAGGAAGGUCCCCCACAUUGGAACUGAGACACGGUCCAAACUCCUACGGGAGGCAGCAGUGAGGAAUAUUGGUCAAUGGGCGAGAGCCUGAACCAGCCAAGUAGCGUGAAGGAUGACUGCCCUAUGGGUUGUAAACUUCUUUUAUAAAGGAAUAAAGUCGGGUAUGGAUACCCGUUUGCAUGUACUUUAUGAAUAAGGAUCGGCUAACUCCGUGCCAGCAGCCGCGGUAAUACGGAGGAUCCGAGCGUUAUCCGGAUUUAUUGGGUUUAAAGGGAGCGUAGAUGGAUGUUUAAGUCAGUUGUGAAAGUUUGCGGCUCAACCGUAAAAUUGCAGUUGAUACUGGAUAUCUUGAGUGCAGUUGAGGCAGGCGGAAUUCGUGGUGUAGCGGUGAAAUGCUUAGAUAUCACGAAGAACUCCGAUUGCGAAGGCAGCCUGCUAAGCUGCAACUGACAUUGAGGCUCGAAAGUGUGGGUAUCAAACAGGAUUAGAUACCCUGGUAGUCCACACGGUAAACGAUGAAUACUCGCUGUUUGCGAUAUACUGCAAGCGGCCAAGCGAAAGCGUUAAGUAUUCCACCUGGGGAGUACGCCGGCAACGGUGAAACU